rnacentral:lncRNA from 1 species
CAGACACAAUGGGAGGUGAAACUUCAGGGGAGGAUGGUGUGAUAGUGCCUGAGGUGGGUUCAAGGAUGAGAUGGAGAUGUUUGAGCUUACAAAAGGUAUGCCUAUGCAAUAGACUUUCCUGUGAAGAAAAGAAAUUCAAAAAAGGGGGGACGAUGGAGUCGUGAGGUAUGUCACAUUGACAUAUAGCCGUGAAGGCCGAAGAUGCGUUAAUACAAGCUGUCCAUUGAAGCCUCAACCAACAAUUCAUAUAGGUUGUAAAGCUAGGAUCUCUGCAUCUUCAGAUAUCCAUAGAACCUAGAGAAUUAACAUGGUCCACCUUGACCAUAAUCAUGAAACUAGCCCGUCGAAGUCAAGAUUAUAUCGAUGCAAUCGAGAACUGAGUGCACAUGUCAAAUGUAGACUUGAAGUGAAUGAUAUGCCAUGAUUUUCAUUCAACAAAAGUUACAACUCUGCUGUUGUAGAAGCAGGCAGAUAUGAGAACAUGACAUGCAUUGAGAAAGACUGUCGAAACUAUAUAGAACAAGUGAGGCGACUAAAGCUCGCGGAAGGAGAUGUCGCAGCAAUACAAUCAUACUUAUAAAAAAUGCAAGCUUAAUGCUCGGGUUUUUACUUUAGUAUGGAUGUGGAUGACGAGUCACGAUUGAAAAAUGUUUUCUGGGUAGAUAAUCGUAGUAGACAAUCAUAUAAGGAGUUCGAGGAUGUCGUUACGUUCGAUACUACUUAUUUGACUAAUAAGUAAGACAUGCAUUUCGCUCUAUUUGUUGGUGUCAAUCAUCAUGGGCAGUCAAUAUUCCUUGGUAGUGGUUUGUUGUCGAAUGAAUAUACAAAUACUUUCGUUUGGUUGUUUCAGACAUGGCUUCAGUGCAUACAAGGUCAAGCUCCACAAGGGAUAAUUAAGGAUCAAGAUCGAGCCAUGCAAAACGCAAUUCAAAUUGUUUUUCCAAGUACAAAACACAGAUAGUGCUUGUGGCAUAUUCUAAAAAAGUCGCUAGAGAAGUUUGGCUACCACUUGGAUAAGGCUUCAAUAUUUGGGGCUAUACAUGAAUUGGUGUAUGAAUCACAGUUUGUUGAAGAAUUUGAGAGUGGUUGGAGAGUAAUGAUUGACACGUAUGCCUUCCAGGAUAAUGAUUGGUUAUCGGGAUUGUAUGAGAAUAGAGCUCGUUGGGUUCCGUGCUAUUUCAAAACUUCUUUUUGGGCUGGGAUAUCGACUACACAAAGAAGUGGGAGUAUGAAUGCAUUUUUUGAUGGAUAUGUGCAUUCUAAGAUAUCUCUCAAGCAAUUUUUGGAAUAGUAUGAGUGUGCACUGAGGAGUAAGGUUGAAAAGGUAUUCCAGGUAGAUUUCAGGUUGUUCUCGCAACUGGUACCUUGUGCAACGCAAUUUGAAAUGGAACAGCAGUUUCAGUCAGUUUACACCAUCUCCAAGUUUAGGGAGUUUACGGAAAAUGUUUAUUGUGAUAUCAUAGCU